rnacentral:snoRNA from 1 species
AAGUUGUGAUGCGAGCAUUAAAUCAAAUAAACCUUGAUUCUUUCCCAAGAAUCAUAGAAAGAUUAUCCUUCCUUUUGAGUGAAAUUGCAAAUACUAGGCCU